CAUCGUGCUCCGGGGUCGGUGAAAUUCCGAACCGGCGGUCACAGCCCGCGAACCGCUCUCGCAGGCAGGUGAAACUCACAUGAUUCCACGCCCCACAGUCGGGGAUAAGAAUCCGCUGGAGGCACCCGCCCGCAAGAGAGGCCGAACCGGUGAAAAUCCGGUGCCGACAGUACAGUCUGGAUGGAAGGUAGCACGAGC
rnacentral:ncRNA from 2 species